AUGUGGCUCUCAAACUCCUAUAAUAGCCUUUUUAUUCUCUCUCACGAUGUCCACUCUCUUCCUUUUCCCUUCUUCUUCGCCCGCAUUAACACCGCCACAACCACCAUCUCAUCACCGAGAACCACCGGUUAUAUCGCGAAAGCAUCACCUUCGCCUCACUUUAUCUAUGUCAAACACAAAUUUGAAACCCUAAGUCUUGGGGAAGAGAUUAAAUGCCAUUUGUUGAGGCUUAUGAGCAUGAUUAUAAGGGGUUCAAUUUCACUCAUCCCCCUCUACAUGUUGGUAACAAGAGAAAAUUGA